rnacentral:tRNA from 1 species
GCUCCGUUGGCCAAAUUGGAUAAGGCAAGAUCGUUCUAAGUUCUUGAUUAGGGGUUCGAAUCCCUUACGGAGUACCA